AUACUCUGGUUUCUCUUCAGAUCGUAUAAAUCUUUCGCCUUUUACUAAAGAUUUCCGUGGAGAGGAACAAUUCUGAGUUUUCACCCAAUUUUUUGAGGCCUUGCUUUUAACAAGGCU
rnacentral:snRNA from 1 species